GUGUCCGUCUGCUCCACGGCAAUGCAUCGGCUCAUUCCGUACAGGAAGCGGUACCAAAGGACUACACCUGGAUCCGAAGCAUUCUUCGUCGACACGCACAAAGACAGAGCUGAGCUUUCGGAGGCUCUCUUCCGAUCGACCUUCGGCAUCACGGAUGAGCUGUUCGUCCGGAUAGUGUCUGUGGGAAGAAAUGCAAAAGAGCCAUUGGCGUAAGCACUGUGACGAAAUGUGUGAAGAAAGAGAUACCUAGAA